AUUGAACGCUAGCGACAUGCCUAACACAUGCAAGUCGAACGGGGCAGCAAUGCCUCGUGGCGGACGGGUGAGGAAUACGUAGGAAUCUGCCCUUAAGUGGGGGAUAACCAGGGGAAACCCUGAAUAAUACCGCAUGAUCGCUUCGGAGCAAAUAGGGGGACCGCAAGGCCUCCAGCUUCUGGAUGAGCCUACGUCUGAUUAGCUAGUUGGUAGGGUAAAGGCCUACCAAGGCGAAGAUCAGUAACUGGUCUGAGAGGAUGAUCAGUCACACCGGAACGGAGACACGGUCCGGACUCCUACGGGAGGCAGCAGUGGGGAAUAUUGGACAAUGGGCGCAAGCCUGAUCCAGCAAUGCCGCGUGUGUGAAGAAGGCCUUCGGGUUGUAAAGCACUUUAGCCUGGAAAGAAGAAACUUUGGUUAACACCCAAAGUCUUGACGGUACCAGGAGAAUAAGCACCGGCUAACUCUGUGCCAGCCGCCGCGGUAAAAC
rnacentral:rRNA from 1 species